rnacentral:rRNA from 1 species
GAUGAACGCUAGCGGCAGGCCUAAUACAUGCAAGUCGGACGGGAUUCAGGAGCUUGCUUCUGAUGAGAGUGGCGCACGGGUGCGUAACACGUAUGUAACCUACCUUUAUCAGGGGGAUAGCCUCUCGAAAGAGAGAUUAAGCCCGCAUAAAAUCACAGCACAGCAUUGUGUAAUGAUCAAAUAUUUAUAGGAUAAAGAUGGGCAUGCGGAACAUUAGCUAGAUGGCGGGGUAACGGCCCACCAUGGCGACGAUGUUUAGGGGAUCUGAGAGGUUGGCCCCCCACACUGGUACUGAGACACGGACCAGACUCCUACGGGAGGCAGCAGUAAGGAAUAUUGGUCAAUGGGCGGAAGCCUGAACCAGCCAUGCCGCGUGCAGGAAGACGGCCCUACGGGUUGUAAACUGCUUUUAUACGGGAAUAAACCCAGAUACGUGUAUCUGGCUGAAUGUACUGUAAGAAUAAGGAUCGGCUAACUCCGUG